CCCGCUGAACUUAAGCAUAUCAAUAAGCGGAGGAAAAGAAACUAACAAGGAUUCCCCUAGUAACGGCGAGUGAAGAGGGAAGAGCUCAAAUUUUGAAUCCGGCCCCUUUGGGGUCUGAGUUGUAAUCUAGAGAAGUGCUUUCUGUGGCGGACCGUGCACAAGUGCUCCUGGAAUGGAGCGUCAUAGAGGGUGAGAAUCCCGUAUAUGGCACGGACUCGCCGUUGCUCUGUGAUACACUCUCAACGAGGCGAGUUGUUUGGGAAUGCAGCUCCAAAUGGGUAGUAAAUGCCAUCUAAAGCUAAAUAUUGGCGAGAGACCGAUAGCGAACGAGUUCCGUGAGGGAAAGAUGAAAAGCACUUUGGAAAGAGAGUGAAACAGUACGUGAAAUUGUUGAAAGGGAAACAGCUAGAAGUCUAGUCAUGCCCUUUGGGAUUCGGCCUUGCUUCUGCUCGGUUUACUUCCUGCGGGGUGCGUCAACAUCAGUUUCGGUCAGAGGAAAAAAGCUUGGGGAAGGUGGCAGCAAUGCGCUGUGUGAUAUCACCUCGUCGUAUAGCUUUGACCGGGACGUGAGGUCCAGCAGAGUGCACUUUACGGCCGGGGUUGUUAAGCCCAAGUACACGCUUAGGAUGUUGGCAUAAUGGCUUUAAGUGACCCGUCUUGAAACACGG
rnacentral:rRNA from 1 species